ACUCCUACGGGAGGCAGCAGUAGGGAAUCUUCCACAAUGGACGAAAGUCUGAUGGAGCAACGCCGCGUGAACGAUGAAGGCCCUCGGGUCGUAAAGUUCUGUUGUAAGGGAAGAACAAGUGCCGCAGGCAAUGGCGGCACCUUGACGGUACCUUGCGAGAAAGCCACGGCUAACUACGUGCCAGCAGCCGCGGUAAU
rnacentral:rRNA from 1 species